GAGUUUGAUCUUGGCUCAGAUUGAACGCUGGCGGCAUGCUUUACACAUGCAAGUCGAGCGGCAGCGCGGGGGCAACCCUGGCGGCGAGCGGCGGACGGGUGAGUAAUGCAUCGGAACGUAUCCCGUAGUGGGGGACAACCCAGCGAAAGCUGGGCUAAUACCGCAUAUGCUCUACGGAGGAAAGUGGGGGACCGCAAGGCCUCACGCUAUGGGAGCGGCCGAUGUCCGAUUAGCUGGUUGGUGGGGUAAUGGCCCACCAAGGCGACGAUCGGUAGCUGGUCUGAGAGGAUGAUCAGCCACACUGGGACUGAGACACGGCCCAGACUCCUACGGGAGGCAGCAGUGGGGAAUUUUGGACAAUGGGGGCAACCCUGAUCCAGCCAUGCCGCGUGCGGGAAGAAGGCCUUCGGUU
rnacentral:rRNA from 1 species